CUUUCUUUGUCAUAGACGAGCCUGACCUCACAGCCAUCUGACAACAAGAGAGCCAGGAAACAGUCGACCCUAUGGCUCCUAAGUCCAUAGGUUCUGGGCAGGCAAAGCCACUCAGUAGACCAAGCCUCAGUAUGAAAUGACAGCCUGGAAGACCCUGACUUCUGUUCCUGCAGGCAGUCUUCCACCUUCACAUCUGCCUGGGACACUGCAGAGGCAUCUCUCACCCAUAGAUGGGGCACUCAGUGCUGAAGCAGACGUCUGUCCCAAAGAUCCAGAUCCCACCCCUGCACAUUUUGGCUGAAUCACUUCCCGUCAUUCCAAGCAGAGGAAGAUCCAAAAAUUCUCACCUCCAUAGUUUGAACAGCUAAUUUGCUUUUUGUUCUUGUUGCAGUGAGUACAUUGUCACGGGCAGAAAUGCUAGCUCAUACACCAAAAGGAAGAAAAUAGAUGCCUUCUGAAUUAUUGAUGGAUGAAAUAAUGCGAUAUCUGAGACCUGCUUCCAAUCACCUGGGAGAGAGGAGGGGACCCAGGAGUUGACAACCAUUGAAGCUGAGUAACAGGGUACAGGAGUCCAUUUUUCUGUUCAUGCUACUUUUACGCAAUUUUUCACUUUUCUAUAAUAAAAAGCCAAAAACAAACCUGUAAUGAG
ensembl:lncRNA novel transcript